rnacentral:rRNA from 1 species
UGGGGAAUUUUGCGCAAUGGGCGAAAGCCUGACGCAGCAACGCCGCGUGAGUGAUGAAGGCCUUCGGAUCGUAAACCCCUGUCGAAUGGGACGAAAGACUCGCGAGUGAAUACUUCGCGAGAGUGACGGUACCGUUAAAGGAAGCCACGGCUAACUCUGUGCCAGCAGCCGCGGUAAUACAGAGGUGGCAAGCGUUGUUCGGAAUUACUGGGCGUAAAGGGCGCGUAGGCGGCCCUCUAAGUCAGACGUGAAAUCCCCCGGCUUAACCUGGGAACUGCGUCUGAUACUGGAGGGCUUGAGUAUGGGAGAGGGAUGUAGAAUUCCAGGUGUAGCGGUGAAAUGCGUAGAUAUCUGGAGGAAUACCGGUGGCGAAGGCGGCAUCCUGGACCAUUACUGACGCUGAGGCGCGAAAGCUAGGGGAGCAAACGGGAUUAGAUACCCAAGUAGUCCCUGAGCGGGCUGGCAAGGCGCAU